UUGGGCGUAAGGGAUCGCAGGCGGUUUCUUAAGUCUGAUGUGAAAGCCCCCGGCUCAACCGGGGAGGGUCAUUGGAAACUGGGGAACUUGAGUGCAGAAGAGGAGAGUGGAAUUCCACGUGUAGCGGUGAAAUGCGUAGAGAUGUGGAGGAACACCAGUGGCGAAGGCGACUCUCUGGUCUGUAACUGACGCUGAGGAGCGAAAGCGUGGGGAGCGAACAGGAUUAGAUACCCUGGUAGUCCACGCCGUAAACGAUGAGUGCUAAGUGUUAGGGGGUUUCCGCCCCUUAGUGCUGCAGCUAACGCAUUAAGCACUCCGCCUGGGGAGUACGGUCGCAAGACUGAAACUCAAAGGAAUUGACGGGGGCCCGCACAAGCGGUGGAGCAUGUGGUUUAAUUCGAAGCAACGCGAAGAACCUUACCAGGUCUUGACAUCCUCUGACAAUCCUAGAGAUAGGACGUCCCCUUCGGGGGCAGAGUGACAGGUGGUGCAUGGUUGUCGUCAGCUCGUGUCGUGAGAUGUUGGGUUAAGUCCCGCAACGAGCGCAACCCUUGAUCUUAGUUGCCAGCAUUCAGUUGGGCACUCUAAGGUGACUGCCGGUGACAAACCGGAGGAAGGUGGGGAUGACGUCAAAUCAUCAUGCCCCUUAUGACCUGGGCUACACACGUGCUACAAUGGACAGAACAAAGGGCAGCGAAACCGCGAGGUAAGCCAUCCCACAAUCUGUUCUCAGUUCGGAUCGCAGUCUGCACUCGACUG
rnacentral:rRNA from 1 species